rnacentral:rRNA from 1 species
AUAGCGUAUAUUAAAGUUGUUGCAGUUAAAAAGCUCGUAGUUGAACCUUGGGUCUGGCUGGCCGGUCCGCCUCACCGCGAGUACUGGUCCGGCUGGACCUUUCCUUCUGGGGAACCUCAUGGCCUUCACUGGCUGUGGGGGGAACCAGGACUUUUACUGUGAAAAAAUUAGAGUGUUCAAAGCAGGCCUUUGCUCGAAUACAUUAGCAUGGAAUAAUAGAAUAGGACGUGUGGUUCUAUUUUGUUGGUUUCUAGAGUCGCCGUAAUGAUUAAUAGGGAUAGUUGGGGGCAUUAGUAUUCAGUUGCUAGAGGUGAAAUUCUUGGAUUUACUGAAGACUAACUACUG